AUACGGAGGAUCCGAGCGUUAUCCGGAUUUAUUGGGUUUAAAGGGUGCGCAGGCGGCCAUUUAAGUCAGCGGUUAAAUCGUGGGGCUCAACCCCAUUCUGCCGUUGAUACUGGGUGGCUUGAUUGCGGUCGAGGUUGGCGGAAUUCGUUGUGUAGCGGUGAAAUGCAUAGAUAUGACGAAGAACACCGAUUGCGUAGGCAGCUGACCAGACCGCAAAUGACGCUCAUGCACGAAAGUGCGGGGAUCGAACAGGAUUAGAUACCCUGGUAGUCCGCACAGUAAACGAUGAAUACUUGUUUUCGGCGAUAUAAUGUCGGAGGCAAAUCGAAAGCGAUAAGUAUUCCACCUGGGGAGUACGCCGGCAACGGUGAAACUUAAAGGAAUUGACGGGG
rnacentral:rRNA from 1 species